GUUGCAGAAGUGAUAGAUGGAAAACCAGUUCCAAAAAGCGUUGUUGUUGUAAAGUUCUCUGAAGCUGAGGCCAAUGUUCCGGGCAUCGUGCAGAAACUUCAGGCUGACCUUAGGGCUUCAGAAUCCCCUGUACUACUGGAUUCCAACUGGAAUGAAAUAAUGGAUUCAGAAGGAACACGAGGUUCCCAGUAUUGGAGACAAAACUCCAGAAAAAUUAACGCGAUGCUCAUGAGCCAUUUUUCCAGGCUUCAGCACAGACGAAAAAGAAUGAGGGAAGAAGAUUCUGGAUUGCAGGAUAUUCUAGAAAAAAUCGAGGAGGUGUUGGAGGCAUCUCAAGGUCUAGAGAGUGUCGCUUUCAGACUCCGA